GGAACAGGUGUGCUGGCAAGGACAGAAUGCCACGCAGGAUCCAUGGGGAGACUUUCUGCAGGCCAGCUUCCAGUCUGUUCCCGGUGUCGUUCGUCUUCGAACAAGCUCACGCUCUAUUUGUGGCAGGUGGCAGAAGCACAAGAAGCCCAGCUACAGGGAAGCACGGUUAAAGCCUCUGCUCACGUCAUCUUUGCUCACAUCCUAUUGGCCAGAGCAAGUCACAUGGCCAACAUCAACUGGACCAGGAUGUAAAUUUCUCCCACGGAAGUUGAGAGAAGCCAGGACAAGGGCCAGGAAGGAAGGACUUGACCUCACAAGACCCCAGAAUGGUGGUCCAGUGUGGAGGAUGUCUGAGAUCACUGCCCACCAGCCAGCAGAGUGGAGAAACAUAGUCCAUCUGGAAUUUAUUUUUUGUGUUGAAUUAGAAAUUGAGGUGUCUUCCGCCACCCCCAUGGAUAGCCACUUACUCAGUACCAAUU
ensembl:lncRNA